rnacentral:rRNA from 1 species
AUAUCAGUCAUGCAUAGCAUAUCAAUAAGCGGAGGAAAAGAAACUAACAAGGAUUCCCCUAGUAACGGCGAGUGAAGCGGGAAGAGCUCAAAUUUGAAAUCUUGAAAGGUUUUCCUUUCACGAAUUGUAGUUUAAAGAAGUGUUUUCUGUUAAAAUAAUGGCAAAAGUUCUUUGGAAUAGGACAUCAUAGAGGGUGAGAAUCCCGUAUUUGACUAGAAUUUUUUUAACUUUGUGAUACACUUUCAAAGAGUCGGAUUGUUUGGGAAUGCAGUCCAAAAUGGGUGGUAAAUUUCAUCUAAAGCUAAAUAUUGGCGAGAGACCGAUAGCGAACAAGUACCGUGAGGGAAAGAUGAAAAGAACUUUGAAAAGAGAGUUAAAUAGUACGUGAAAUUGUCAAAAGGGAAGCGUUUGGCACCAGUGUUGUUUUUCUAAAAAUCAAUUUAAAAUUUGCUUAUGCUAAGUUUUUUAGACUUAAUCGGCUAAUAAUUUAGUCUUUGUACUUUUUGAAUGCACUUUUUCGUUUAACAAGUCAACAUCAAUUUCAUUUGUUGUAAAAGGAAUCAUUGAGGAAGGUGGCUUGGAUUCGUUUCGAAAGUGUUUAUAGCCUUUGCUCUCUGCAAUCGGAGAGACUGAGGUCUGCAGCAUAGACUCUUCGGGGGUUAGAUAGCAUUUGUGCUAAGUUAUAGCUAUUUAUAUAACAACUUGUUGACUAUAAUUAGUCUGUGCAUCCUACUCGCUUAGGCGUAUUUUACCUACGCUUAGGAUGUUGACGCAUGAGAUAUACGC